rnacentral:rRNA from 1 species
CCUACGGGCGGCAGCAGUGAGGAAUAUUGGUCAAUGGCCGGAAGGCUGAACCAGCCAUGCCGCGUGAAGGUCAGUGCCCUAUGGGCGUUAAACUUCUUUUGUGCGGGAGCAAUAAUGGUCACGUGUGGCCAGACGAGAGUACCGUACGAAUAAGCAUCGGCUAACUCCGUGCCAGCAGCCGCGGUUAUACUGGGGAUGCAAGCGUUAUCCGGAUUUAUUGGGUUUAAAGGGUGCGUAGGCUGUGAGGUAAGUCAGCGGGGAAAUGCCCCCGCUCAACGGGGUGAAGUGCCAUUGAUACUGCCUUGCUGGAAUGCGGAUGCCGUGGGAGGAAGGUGUGGUGUAGCGGUGAAAUGCAUAGAGAGCACACAGAACACCGAUUGCGAAGGCAUCUCACGAAUCCGCGAUUGACGCUGAUGCACGAAAGCGUGGGUAUCAAACAGGAUUAGAUACCCCAGUAGUC